UAGGGAAUAUUGGUCAAUGGAGGCAACUCUGAACCAGCCAUGCCGCGUGAAGGAAGACGGCCUUAUGGGUUGUAAACUUCUUUUAUCAUAGAAUAACCGCCGGGACGUGUCCUGGUCUGCAAGUAUAUGAUGAAUAAGCACCGGCUAACUCCGUGCCAGCAGCCGCGGUAAUACGGAGGGUGCAAGCGUUAUCCGGAUUUAUUGGGUUUAAAGGGUGCGCAGGCGGGAUUGUAAGUCAGGGGUGAAAUUUUGCAGCUUAACUGUAAAACUGCCUUUGAUACUGCAAACCUAGCGUGUAUAUGACGUAGCUGGAAUGUGACAUGUAGCGGUGAAAUGCAUAGAGAUGUCACAGAACACCGAUCGUGAAGACAGGUUACGAAUAUACAACGGACGCUCAUGCACGAAAGCGUGGGGAUCAAACA
rnacentral:rRNA from 1 species